rnacentral:tRNA from 1 species
GUUCCUAUAGUUGAGUAUCAACGACGGCUUUUCAGGCUGUAGACCUUGGGUUGGUCCAAGUGGGAACU